AUAAAGGAAAAGGGAUAGAAGUAACUACUCACCAAGCUAAAAAACUCAAACCUUUCAAUAUCCAACUUAGACCAGAACAACCCAUACCUAAAAGGACAGAUUUUAUUUACCAAUUACCAAAACCCCAGAUAAAUACUUACAGUGAAAUCACCAAAAAACCUAAACAAAAUCCAUUCGUGCAAAGAAUACACAACUACCUGAACCAAUUCAUACAAGUUGCCAACU
rnacentral:lncRNA from 1 species